CAGAAAUCGUACCUUGAAAAUCCGAUUUAGCUUUUUCUGUUGAAGUGAUUUAGGCUCCUAGAUCACGAUCCGCCACCACCACUCCUUUUGGAUCACGAUCCGUCACCACCAUGCUUGUUAGAUCACGAACUGUCACCAAUGAUCUUCCAGGUUAUGACUCAGGUUCGAUCUGCACUUGACGUGUGGGCGCCUUUAUCACUACCAAAGCAACUAGCACGAGAAAAUUUUUCUCUCAACAAUGGAGAGAAAAAUCUUUUCAUCUGAUCUGUAUAAAGUGGCUUUUUCACUUUCUUUAGAGAAAAUAAGCCUUUUAUAUCACCCUUUAGUGAAAACCCUAGGCUCCAAAUAAUAAAAAAACAAAACUCACGUUAUUUGCUUUUUCUAUAGGGGACCCACCUUGUAAAAUAACAUAAGGCCCCUUACAAAAGCUAAUUAAAUGGAGUCUCCCACUAAAUGAUAUAUUUAGGCUUUUGACCCAAAUAGCUAGUUAUCUUACUUAUUAGUCCAGUAGUGGUGCAGUCAAUUAAAUGAGCUAACCCGGGGAUCAUUUGGGAACAUACAAUAGUGGCUACAAUAAUCAGGCCUGUAAUUAAACUAGCCCAAUUAUUUAAUUCCAAAUCUACUCUACUAAAAGAUUGGAACUGACUUCCAUAAUUGUAUGCUCGAAUAAUAAUUCGUCCCAAGCCACAUUGAUUUCUUUACUGCACAAUCAUUUGUACCACAUCGUUAAUUAAAUUGAUAUCUCAACUGUCCAAUCAAUUUAAUAACAUCUUAUUCCUUGAUCCUUACUGGUUUUCUCUAAUGAUCAUUUUCAACAUACUAAAUAUGUUGACACACUCUGGCCAGAGAAUUCUAUGAUCAAGUGCCGAAAACCCAUCAAGAGAUGUGUUGUACAAAUUCUAUAUUGUUAAUCCAUAACUCCAAUACUCAUAAUUGCUCCCACCAAGAUACCGGGUAAUCUUGACCACAAGGAUGUGUCGUGCCCAUUGGUAACUCAAAUGGAAUAACAAUUACAAUCAUGAAAUCAUAAUUAACUCAAGAUUAAGAUUACAGUAAAAUCAAUGCCUAUGAGAUUUAAUAAGUCUGACAGUUAUUACAAAGUUAAUUAAAUCUCAUAUGUGAUCCUGUUCAAUGUAGUCAUACUACAUCAAUAAAUUCAUACAUGAUUAAGACAAAUCAUUCAAUGAAUUUAUUACAGUCUAUACCUAAAUAAAGUGCCCAACUUUAUUUAUCAACUGCGAACUAAAUUUAUUUAAUCAUAAGAUAACUUGUAUUUAUGUCUUCUGUGAAUCCACAUGGUGAUCACAUAAAUACAUAUAAUAUGAUUAAAUGGACUUUAAUACAAAUAUUAAUGCAAUUAAGAUAUUUGAAUAAAAUACCUCAUUUAUUUUAUUAAUCGGAAAAAUUGUUUAUUAUAAUUAAAUAAACACAUAUGCUUUUAAAGAGCAUAUUUUCCCAACAAUCUCCCACUAGCUCUCAAAGCAUAUCUGGCAUUUUGCACAUGCUCUAGGGCUCUAAGUGCAGGUUAUAAAGGUUUCCCACUAAUGGCCAUUGUAAUAAGAUCUGCCAUUUAGCAUCUAAUGCCAUUUGGGGUACUGUCAUAUAACUUUUCUACACUAUUCCCUUAUGAGAUGAUACUUCCUCUCAAUAUGUUUUAUUUCUUGUGGUUCCUUGGUUUCUUAGAUUGAGCUACUGCACCACCAUUAUCGCAAAGUAGUUUAAGGGGUGCAGUUACAGCAGGUACCACCUCAAGAUCUUGUAGGAACUUGCGGAGCCAUACAGCUUCUUUUGCAGCUUCGGAUGCAACUACAUAUUCAGCUUCAGUUGUGGAGUCUGCGAUACAAGAUUGUUUCACACUCCUCCAACUAAUAGCUCCACUUCCCAAUGCAAACACAUAGCCGGAAGUAGAUUUUCCGGAAUCCCUAUCUGACAUAAAGUCAGAAUCAGUAUAACCCACUGGAAUGAGUUCAUCACCAAAAUACAUAAGCAUAUAAUUUUUAGUUCUUUUCAGAUACUUUAUAAUAUGCUUGAUUGCAGUCCAGUAUUGAGGUCCAGGAUUAAAUUGAUAUCUGCUAACUAUCCCUACCGCAAAAUAGAUGUCUGGCCUAGUGCAAAGCAUGGCAUACAUGAGACUUCCCAUAGCUUCUGCAUAGGGAACUCGUCUCAUUCUCUCAAUCUCUUCAGAUGUUUUAGGUGAUUGAUCCUUAGAGAAUGUAAUUCCAUGUCUGAAUGGUAAUAAACCAGUCUUGGAAUUUUCCAUGCUAAAUCUAGCCAAUAUCUUAUCGAUAUAGACCGCUUGAGACAAGGCUAAAGUUUUAUUCUUCCGGUCUCGUAGUAACUUGAUACCAAGAAUAUAACUUGUCUCUCCCAGGUCUUUCAGAUCAAAUUUUUUUGCUAACCAAAUCUUUAUUGUAGUCGAUACUCCUAUAUCGUUUCCAAUCAAGAGAAUAUUGUCUACACAAAGAACUAGGAAGGCUACAAAUUUUUCCCUGAAUUUUCUUGUACACACAUGGUUCAUCAAUGUUCUGAAUGAAUCCAAGUGAUUUGAUCGCUUGAUCAAAUCUAAUGUUCCAUGACCGGGAUGCUUGCUUCAAUCUAUAAAUGGAUCUCUGCAACUUACAUACCAUGUGUUCUUGACCUUUUUGUAUAAAUCCAUCUGGUUGCUGCAUGUAGAUGUUUUCUUCAAGAUGCCCGUUAAGAAAGGCAGUCUUGACAUCCAUUUGCCAAAUUUCAUAAUCUAGCACUGCAGCAAUGGAGAGCAGAAUCCUGAUAGAUUUAAGCAUAGCAACCAGAGAAAAGGUUUCCUCAUAAUCGAUUCAUUCUUUCUGAGUCAACCCUUCGGCUACUAAUCUUGCUUUAAAUGUUUCCACCCUUCUGUCUACUCCUCUUUUUCUCUUAUAGAUCCACUUGCACCCUAUAGGUUUUACCCCAUUUGGUGCCUCUACAAGUUCCCAGACUUUAUUGGAAUACAUAGAUUCCAUUUCUUGAUUCAUGGCCUUUUUUUCCAAAAUUCAACAUCUCUAUCUAUUAGAGCUUCAUUGUAACUAGUGAGAUCUUGUACAUGUUCAUCUGAGAAGCCAUAUAGGUUUCUCCCAAAAGCAUGUAUCUCGCAGGUAACCUAGUUACCCUCCCACUACGACGAGGUUCUAAAAGUGAUGGUUGUUCAAGGAUAAUCCUGUGCUGAUCAGCUGGUUGUUGCUGUUCUUCAUGUUCUAUAACAGGUGUUGAAAGCUGAGCAUCAACCUGAUCUCUUUUAUUUCUCUAGUUUUACCUUACUCUUAGGUUAUAAGUCAUUAUAUAGUCUUCCUCAAAGAAAGUAAAGAUUAUUUCUAUAAAUACAUUCAUAUCUUGAGGACUAUAAUUCUGACUUUCCCUUAUUCCUUUAAGAUACCUAAAACAUGCAAGCUUCUGAACACGAAUCCAUAUUCUCUAUCUCUGAUUCUAGUAGAAAUACUAGUAAACUCCAAAUACGAAUGUGUCUCAAACCAUGUUUGUGACUUUUUCAUAAUUUCUUGGAGUAGUAGACACCGAGAUAGAUGAAACUAAGUUCAAUAAACUUUGUAGUUUUAAAUAUUAGUAUCUGGAAUCAAAAAAGUAAAUGAUAAACCACUUAAUAUAUAUCUUGUCUUAUCCAAAAGAAUAUUGUUUCUCCAUUUAAUUACACUAUUGUAUCAUAGUGUUCAUUGACAACCAAAUAGUGUUUGAAUUCUCCAUAGAGAUAUUCUUUGUUUCGAUCAUAUCGAAGUUCUUUUAUGUUUCUGUCUAAUUGCUUCUGUCUUAUCCGCGUACUCUUUUGAAUUUCAAAAGCAAUGGAAUCAUGACGCAUUUAGAUAAACAUAAAUGAAAUGAAUAUUCAUCAACAAGAUUGAUAGAAUACUCAUAACCUCUUAUAACAUGUAAACUAAUUAGUCCGUAUACAUUUGUAUGCGCUAAAUCAUCAAAUACAAUGUUAUGCUUUUAGCUCAAAAAGAGCAUCCUUGUCAUAUUACUUUUCUAAAUAAGAUUUAUAGAGUUACAAUGAUCAAUUUUAAUAGGCCAACAAGUCUAUCAUUAAUCAUUUUCUUAAAAUCUUAUUAUAGUUUAUAUGACUUAAGCAUAAAUAUCAGAGGUGAUUUUUGGUUAGAAGAAACAUUUCUUUUCUUAGAUAAAUGCAUAUACUUUUUAUCAUUAUAUCUUACUUUGAAUAGAUCAAUGUACUUCUAUGAUAUAAAUUGUCUUUAUAAAUAACUAAAAUAAGUAAUAAACAGAGGAUCCAAAAAUAACAGUGUACUCCUGUUUAUUAAAACAAGCCACCGAAAUUAAAUUCCUCUAAUAUUUGGAAAAAUAAAGACAAAUAUCAAAACUAAAGUCUUGUAAAAUUGAUCUAGUCUUUCAAUUGAUAUAAACUAGCAUGUCCUCAACUGCUAUUUGAAGCUUUCUUCACUUAAUCUCUUGGUUUCCUGAAAACCAAAUAAAUGAAUUACAAAUAAGAUUAGUUAUCUCAGAAUUCAUUAUUGUAUGAAUCAAUAGGAAUCUGAACUAAUUAGGAAGCUUAAAGAUUUCCUAUACCUGAUUUUAAUAAUCUUAGGACAAUCUUUCUUCCAGUGACCCUUCUGUCCACAUUUGUAACACUUGCCUUUUGGCUUGCCACUUCUUUUAGUGGACAGUUUGCCGAUCCCAACUCUUGCUUGCUCAUUCUUGUCUUUCGACUUAAGCCUUGAAGAGAAUCCUUUUUCAGGAAGUUUUCUGCUAUUAUAAAAUUCUUCUAUAGCAUGUAGUUCGUGCAUUAAUUCAAUUAAGGUCAUAUCUUUAUUGUUUAAGAUAUAACUGACCUUAAACUCUUUGAAUGUAUCAGGUAAAGAUUCAAUCACCAUGUUAAUCUUUGAUUUAUCAUUGAUUUGAACACCAUGAAUCUCUACCUCAUUCAAAUAGUCCAUCAUUUUGAGGACAUGAUCACGAACUUUUGUGCCCUCUUCCAUCUUAGUAUCCGUAAUACGUUUUAAUGCUGCUUCUCUUGCAAAAUGGGUAUUUUGCCCAAACAUCUGAUGAAGACUAGCCAUUAUUUCAGUGGCUGUUUCCAUGCUCCGAUGUUUCUUAUGCAGUUCCACAGAAAUCGAAGCUAAUAUAUAGCGCUUAGCCAUUUUGUUAGCUUCGCACCAUUUCUCAUAAGGCUCCCUCUGAUUUCUAUAAUCGUAUAACGAUGGUUCAGGAGGGCAAGGCUGGGUCAACACAUAUUUGCUUCCCUUAGCAGUGAGAAUAUUAAAUAGAUUGCAUUUCCAAUCUAAAUAAUUUUCGCCAGUGAGUUCAUUUUUAACAAGGAUAAUUAAUAAUGGGUUGAUGGAAGACAUUUUCUGAAAAAAAUAAAAUAAACAUGCAUAAAUACUUUGAAACAAUAUUCAUAAUAAAUGACAAAAAUGCAAAAAACCAUAAAUGCAUUUUAAUUUAUUGUAACGAUAAUCUAGUACCGCUUUGACAAGCUAUCCGUUGGGGAAGUCAUGUCUACACUUACUAGACCCAAUUAUCCAUUAGAUUAUUUACUUUCAUGUAGAGACAUGAUAAAUAAUUAUCGUUAUCUCUUUGGGCCUAAAUUUGUUAACAGAGCUUCGUUGGGAAGGUUAAUAACAAACUUUAGUUGAGUGUAUAACCAUUGUUUCAAUCUACGUAUUUUUCAUAUCAAUAGUCACCGUUGGGGUGAACAAUCGAUUGAAAAAUAUUUCAAUUUUAUCUUUGAAGAAGUUCAUCAAAUAAAAUAUCUAAUAUAUAUACUCUCCGAAGGGACCAUCACCGUAUCAUGAAGUCGAGGUAUAUAUAUAAUUUUAUUAUUGAACUAACAAUGGAGCCCGUGGGAAAAUUAUCUUGAAUUUUCCCUCUCCCACUCAAUAUUUUAAAAUUGGUUUUUCCUUUUUAAAACAUACAUAUUGUUAAUUGCAUGCUUCCUAUAAUAUUAUCUAGAUGAUAUCAAAUAUUAUUAAGCAUGUGCAAAAUUCAAAUAAUAUAAUGAAAUUCAUAAUUAAUGAAUGACAUGUAUCAUUAUGCAUAUAGUGGCACUACCUAUUCUAUAUGACAUGUUAUCAUGGCAUGUUAUCAUCCAAAACAUAACAUAUAGAAAAAUAAUUAAAUAAUCUUAAUUCAUGGCUUUCCUAAUAAUGAAAAAUACAUUAACCCUAAGCCUAAUUUUCAUUGGGCUUCUUGUCAAUGUCUAUCUUUCAUAAUCUUGUCUUUGUUAAUUGGCUAGAGGAAAUUGGAUUUUUAAAUUUAUAAUUGGUCCAAUUUUAAUUUUUGGAAGGAAAUAAAUAAAUAAUUAAAAUUUUUUAUUAAAAUAAAAUUUUUUGGACCAAAAAUAAAUUUAUUGUGUUCAAUUUUAUCCAUGUAUUUUAAUCCAUUAAGCCCAAAUAUCAAUUGGGCCUAAAACUAGGAUUCUUUAAGCCCAAAACUGUUUUUGGACUUACAUGCAAAAAAUUAAAACUUAUCAGCCCAAAGAGAAAAUAUAUGAAACUAUAGGGAUCGUAAUGAUAAAAAUCAUUAAAACCCUAAAUCCAUAUUUUUCUCUCCCCAGCCGCCAUCACCACAAAGGGCAGCCACUAUUCACAAUUUCCAGCAAUCUCCGACGCCAAGUUUGCUGUCGCCGUCACACUGGAAACGUACCAAACACCUCCCUCGCGCUGCACGGAAAGCUCCUGCUCGCGCUGCCUGCUGCGUGUACUGGCUGUUGCACGCGAGCGUGCACUAGCUGCUGCACGCGAGCGUGCGCUAGCUGCUGCACGCGAGCGUGCGCUAGCUGCUGCACGCGAGCGUGCGCUAGCUGCUGCACGCACAGCGUGUGCUGCGAGCCGCGCGCUGCUGCCGCUGCGCGUGCAGCGCGCGCUUGCUGGCAGCAUGUGCUGCUGGCCGCGCACUGCUUGCUGCUGGUUGCCGCUGUCAAAAUUUCCGGCCUCCGUCGCUUUGAUCUUGAAAAUCCGAGAUUAAUUUACAAAUUUCCUAGGCCAAUUUUUGGCUUACAAAAAUUCUAUAACAAUAAAAUAAAUCAAGAGGGAAACAUGAUGAUAAAAAACCACUCCUCUUGUUACAAAUCCAAACGAAAAAUACAGUGGAAAAUCUAACCAUGAAUUAAGACAAACCAUAAACAUGCUUUAUUCAUAUAUUAAACAAAUAAUAUAUAUCUGAAUAAAUUGUGCCACUCUAAUACAUAAAUUUCAAGAUUAAUUUCAUACGAAAUUCUUAUAUAUUAAUAUGAGAUGGCUCUGAUACCAAUUGUUGGGGAAAAAUCAGGUUUUUAAAUUUUUAUGAAACCUUUCAAGGACCGCUCUCAUAUAAUAUAUAAGAAUACAUAAUUCAGAAAUCGUACCUUGAAAAUCCGAUUUAGCUUUUUCCGUUGAAGUGAUUUAGGCUCCUAGAUCACGAUCCGCCACCACCACUCCUUUUGGAUCACGAUCCGUUACCACCACGCUUGUUAGAUCACGAACUGUCACCAAUGAUCUUCCAAGUUAUGACUCAGGUUCGAUAUGCACUUGACGUGUGGGCGCCUUUAUCACUACCAAAGCAACUAGCACGAGAAAAUUUUUCUCUCAACAAUGGAGAGAAAAAUCUUUUCCUCUGAUCUGUAUAAAGUGGCUUUUUCACUUUCUUUAGAGAAAAUAAGCCUUUUAUAUCACCCUUUAGUGAAAACCCUAGGCUCCAAAUAAUAAAAAAACAAAACUCACGUCAUUUGCUUUUUCUAUAGGGGACCCACCUUGUAAAAUAACAUAAGGCCCCUUACAAAAGCUAAUUAAAUGGAGUCUCUCACUAAAUGAUAUAUUUAGGCUUUUGACCCAAAUAGCUAGUUAUCUUACUUAUUAGUCCAGUAGUGGUGCAGUCAAUUAAAUGAGCUAACCCGGGGAUCAUUUGGGAACAUACAAUAAUGGCUACAAUAAUCAGGCCUGUAAUUAAACUAGCCCAAUUAUUUAAUUCCAAAUCUACUCUACUAAAAGAUUGGAACUGACUUCCAUAAUUGUAUGCUCGAAUAAUAAUUCGUCCCAAGCCACAUUGAUUUCUUUACUGCACAAUCAUUUGUACCACAUCGUUAAUUAAAUUGAUAUCUCAACUGUCCAAUCAAUUUAAUAACAUCUUAUUUCUUGAUCCUUACUGGUUUUCUCUAAUGAUCAUUUUUAACAUACUAAAUAUGUUGACACACUCUGGCCAGAGAAUUCUAUGAUCAAGUGCCGAAAACCCAUCAAGAGAUGUGUUGUACAAAUUCUAUAUUGUUAAUCCAUAACUCCAAUACUCAUAAUUGCUCCCACCAAGAUACCGGGUAAUCUUGACCACAAGGAUGUGUCGUGCCCAUUGGUAACUCAA
rnacentral:lncRNA from 1 species